rnacentral:rRNA from 1 species
UACGUAGGGGGCAAGCGUUGUCCGGAAUUAUUGGGCGUAAAGAGCGUGUAGGCGGUCCGGUAAGUCAGCUGUGAAAGUCAAGGGCUCAACCCUUGAAAGCCGGUUGAUACUGUCGGGCUAGAGUCCGGAAGAGGCGAGUGGAAUUCCCGGUGUAGCGGUGAAAUGCGCAGAUAUCGGGAGGAACACCAAUGGCGAAGGCAGCUCGCUGGGACGAUACUGACGCUGAGACGCGAAAGCGUGGGGAGCAAACAGG